rnacentral:rRNA from 1 species
UCGCCGAAAGAUCGGCCCGCGUCUGAUUAGCUUGUUGGUGAGGUAACGGCUCACCAAGGCGACGAUCAGUAGCUGGUCUGAGAGGAUGAUCAGCCACAUUGGGACUGAGACACGGCCCAA